GCUCAGCCCUAAACCUCAGUAGUUUUACAACAAUACUACUCGCCAGAGUACUACUAGCAACAGCCUAAAACUCAAAGGACUUGGCGGUGCUUUAUAUCCCUCUAGAGGAGCCUGUUCUGUAAUCGAUAAACCCCGAUAAACCUCACCAGUCCUUGCUAAUACAGCCUAUAUACCGCCAUCUUCAGCAAACCCUAAAAAGGAGCCACAGUAAGCCAAAUCAUACAACAUAAAAACGUUAGGUCAAGGUGUAGCCCAUGGACCGGGAAGAAAUGGGCUACAUUUUCUAACAUAGAACAUGACGGAACUUUUCGUGAAACCGAAAACGGAAGGAGGAUUUAGUAGUAAAUUAAGAAUAGAGAGCUUAAUUGAAUGAGGCCAUGAAGCAC
rnacentral:rRNA from 1 species